AUGCACACUUGGGUUACCCCACAUUUUGGCUAUUUUAAAUAAUGCUACUAUGAACAUGGGUGUACAAAUAUCUCUUCAAGAUAGUGCUUUCAAUUCUACAUACCUGGAAGCAGAGUUGCCAGGUCAUAUGAUAAUGAUUCAGAAAGAAUCCCAUGAGUAGCUUAACAUCCUACCUGGCAAUGAGCUAGAACCAAAGACCAUCUACAGAGGCCCUCAAACAGGACUUUAUAACUUGCCAGGGUAUGGAUUCCCUGUAUACUGUCCAGCCACACUGGUAUCAUCAAGUUAUGAAGAGGAUAAUUCCAGGAGAAGAGGAUCCAGUCCUGGAGCCUGGGAAGUCCCAAGUCAAGGCACUGGCAUCUGUGAAGCCCUUUUCCUGCAUCCUCCCUUGGCAGAAGGGCAAAGAAUGGACAAAAGAAAGCCAAAAGGGACCAAUUCAUUCUUUUAUAUGGAACUCAUUCCCACAACAAUGAAUGUACUCCAGUGAAAACAGCAUUAAUCCAUUGAUGAGGUCAAUGCCUCAUGACUCAACACCUCCCAUUAUGCUGCAGUGGAACUCAUGAUUCUCCUGCCUCAGUCUCCUGAUUAGCUGGCAUUAAUCCAGGUUUAUCCCCCCAUGCCUGCCAAUAGUGAUUAUUUAAAACAAAGAUUACCAUAUGUUACUUUCCUGAUUAAAAAUAUAUUGAUGCUUAUUUAUUGUAUUAGAGUAAAUCCUAAACUUUUCUCAUAUCAUCCAAAGUCCCUCACGGCCUCCUAUUUCUCCCACUGCACCUUGAUUCCUCAGAGAGCUGAUUCCUCCCCAUUUUUUGAGUCUCUGUUUAACUAUUUGUUUCUUUAAAAUGUAAAGAUCAGGAAGUUGACUUGUUUUAUUACUCUUAUUAUAGUACUUAUAAUCUCAUCACUUAACAUGAUGUGUGGCAUGUAGUAAGUGUUCAACAAACAUUUAUUGAAUGAAUAUCAAAAUUGUGGAAUAGAUUGCACGUAGAAUAAUAGUGAAAACCCCAAAU
rnacentral:lncRNA from 1 species